rnacentral:rRNA from 1 species
GACGAACGCUGGCGGCGUGCCUAAUACAUGCCAGUAGAACGCUGAAGAGAGGAGCUUGCUCUUCUUGGAUGAGUUGCGAACGGGUGAGUAACGCGUAGGUAACCUGCCUGGUAGCGGGGGAUAACUAUUGGAAACGAUAGCUAAUACCGCAUAAAAUGGAUUAUCGCAUGAUAAUCCAUUGAAAGGUGCAAAUGCAUCACUACCAGAUGGACCUGCGUUGUAUUAGCUAGUUGGUGGGGUAACGGCUCACCAAGGCGACGAUACAUAGCCGACCUGAGAGGGUGAUCGGCCACACUGGGACUGAGACACGGCCCAGACUCCUACGGGAGGCAGCAGUAGGGAAUCUUCGGCAAUGGACGGAAGUCUGACCGAGCAACGCCGCGUGAGUGAAGAAGGGUUUCGGAUCGUAAAGCUCUGUUGUAAGAGAAGAACGAGUGUGAGAGUGGAAAGUUCACACUGUGACGGUAUCUUACCAGAAAGGGACGGCUAACUACGUG